GUUUUAACCAGCUCUUUGACAUUAAAAAGCAUAUUUUGUCUCACAGCCUGCUUAAAGCAAAACAGAAAGCUAAGCUAUGGCUCCUUACAAACAAUGAAAGCAAUAAAUACAGUAAAUUACUGUUUUAUGUGAGACAAUAUACUAAUGUUAACUGAAGAAAUGGAAUUAGAAAACAAACUCCCUCUGGGAACAAUUCUCACACCCCUGUUUUAGAAGGAAGCAGAGUUUACUCAUAAAUAAUUUAAUGCAUUUACUCCUGCUAGACUGGACUGACAGGUCUUCCAUAUACUAAAGCUUUGCUUCUCUGAUAAUUGCAAACUUUUUGAACUGAGAAAGUUGUCAACUACAAAGGUCACUGUAGGACUAUCUAGGAACAUAAAGAUGUGCUCUGUAAGACAGUAGUACUGAAUUUAGCCAUCAUGCCAAUCACCAUUUAAUAAUAAUAUUCUUUCAGGCCUACUUCUGUUUAUGAGCAUGUAAAUAAUAUCUUCUUCAGAGUAAUACAACAAUUCCUCAGCAACUUUAACAGUUGCCUAAAUGAAUAAGCAGUAGAAAGGAAAAGACACAUUAUUACUUGGGCUUGUUUAAUGCAGUACAGCCACUAGAAUAAAAAAGAAAACAAGGCAGCUGAGUCUGUAAGCACAGCAUGAUCUGUGCUUGCAGACUCAGCUGUACAGCAGUACAAAAGAACCAGAACUGAAAAAGAACUUCAUGAAGUGUGUCCCCUGUUACCUGCCUCAGAAAGCAACCUCAUGAAAUACUGGACUUUGUUAUUAGAUUGAUGACUCUCAGGCAUCAUAGCUGGCUGGAGAUUUCUUAAGACUCAAGUGGAAGAGAGCUCGGAAGCUGGUCGCUUCACUCAGAAACUAACAACUUGCUUUUUGACUUGGAGAAUGGUGGAACCACUACUAGCGUCAACCAGUAGAACAACUUCUGGAAUAGUAGAUCAGCUUCUACUGCUUUGUCUGAAUUACUAUUUGUGUUCUGUUUAC
rnacentral:lncRNA from 1 species